rnacentral:rRNA from 1 species
GGAUUAGGCAUGCAAGUCGCGCGCGAAAGCCUUCGGGCGAGUAAAGCGGCGGACGGGUGAGUAACACGUAAUCAAUCUACCCCUCAGAUCGGGAUAACCACUGGAAACGGUGGGUAAUACCGAAUGGUUCCGCCAGAGGGCAUCCUCUGAUAGGUAAACGGUGACUAGUUCACUGCUCGGGGAGGAGAUUUGCGGACUAUUAGCUUGUUGGUGGGGUAACGGCCUACCAAGGCAAUGAUGGUUAGCGGGUCUGAGAGGAUGGUCCGUCACACUGGGACUGAGACACUGCCCAGACUCCUACGGGAGGCUGCAGUCGAGAAUCUUCCGCAAUGGGCGAAAGCCUGACGGAGCGACACCGCGUGCAGGAUGAAGGCUUCGGGUUGUAAACUGCUGUCACGUUUCUAGGAACCGUACAUUGUUAAUAGCAAUGUGCCUGACCAGGGCGAAAGGAAGCACCGGCUAACUCCGUGCCAGCAGCCGCGGUAAUACGGAGGGUGCAAACGUUGUUCGGAAUCACUGGGCAUAAAGAGCAUGUAGGCGGUCUAAUUAGUUGGGUGUGAAAUCCCUCGGCUCAACCGGGGAACUGCAUCCAAUACUGUUAGGCUUGAGGAUGGUUGGGGUGAGUGGAACUCCUGGUGGAGCGGUGAAAUGCGUAGAUAUCAGGAGGAACACCGGUGGCGAAGGCGACUCACUGGACCAUUACUGACGCUGAGAUGCGAAAGCUAGGGGAGCGAACGGGAUUAGAUACCCCGGUAGUCCUAGCCGUAAACGAUGGGCACUAGACAGGGGGAUUUCCUAUGGUAUUCUCUGUCGUAGCAAAUGUGUUAAGUGCCCCGCCUGGGGAGUACGCUCGCAAGGGUAAAACUCAAAGGAAUUGACGGGGGCUCACACAAGCGGUGGAGCAUGUGGUUUAAUUCGAAGCAACGCGAAGAACCUUACCUAGCCUUGACAUUUACGGAUUAACUCUGUGAAAGCAGAGUGACAGCCCUUCGGGGUCGGAACGUGUGCAGGUGUUGCAUGGCUGUCGUCAGCUCGUGUCGUGAGAUGUUGGGUUAAGUCCCGUAACGAGCGAAACCCUUGUCGUUAGUUGCCAGCGGGUAAUGCCGGGGACUCUAGCGAGACUGCCGUUGUCAAAACGGAGGAAGGUGGGGACGACGUCAAGUCAUCAUGGCCCUUAUGACCAGGGCGACACACGUGCUACAAUGGUCCGUACAAAGGGUUCCAAAGCCGCGAGGUCAAGGCAAUCCCACAAAGCGGGCCCCAGUUCGGAUUGCAGGCUGCAAUUCGCCUGCAUGAAGCCGGAAUCGCUAGUAAUCGCGUAUCAGCCAUGACGCGGUGAAUAUGUUCCUGAUCCUUGUACACACCGCCCGUCAAGCCACGGAAGCGGGGAGCGCUCGAAGUCGUUAUGCCUAACUUUUAGAAGGCGACGCCGAAAGCAAGCUCCGUGAUUGGGACUAAGUCGUAACAAGGUAGCCGUAGGGGAACCUGCGGCUGGAUCACCUCCUUU